rnacentral:tRNA from 1 species
GAGAGUCUAGCUCAAGUGGUAGAGAGCAUGCUUAGCAUGCAUGAGGCCCUGGGUUCAAUCCCCAGUACCUCCC